rnacentral:rRNA from 1 species
CCCUUAGAUGUCCUGGGCUGCACGCGCGCUACACUGAUGUGUCCAGUAAGCACCUAACCUCUUCCGAAAGGAACGGGUAACCUUUGCAAAGCACAUCGUGAUGGGGAUAGAUUAUUGCAAUUAUUAGUCUUGAACGAAGAAUUCCUAGUAAGCACAAGUCAUCAGCUUGUGUUGAUUACGUCCCUGCCCUUUGUACACACCGCCCGUCGCUCCUACCGAUUGAAUGUUCCGGUGAGCUCUUCGGACUGCGCGGUCUGCAGUUUCUGCGUUCCGUGCGGAAAGUUGCGCAAACCUUAACAUUUAGAGGAAGGAGAAGUCGUAACA